rnacentral:rRNA from 1 species
CCUACGGGAGGCAGCAGUGAGGAAUAUUGGUCAAUGGGCGCGAGCCUGAACCAGCCAAGUAGCGUGAAGGAUGACUGCCCUACGGGUUGUAAACUUCUUUUAUAAAGGAAUAAAGUGAGGCACGUGUGCCUUUUUGUAUGUACUUUAUGAAUAAGGGUCGGCUAACUCCGUGCCAGCCGCCGCGGUAAUACGGAGGAUCCGAUCGUUAUCCGGAUUUAUUGGGUUUAAAGGGAGCGUAGAUGGGUGGUUAAGUCAGUUGUGAAAGUUUGCGGCUCAACCGGAAAAUUGCAAUUGAUACUGGCAGUCUUGAGUACAGUUGAGGUAGGCAGAAGUCGUGGUGUAGCGGUGAAAUGCUUAGAGAUCACGAAGAACACCGAUGGCGAAGGCAGCUUACUAAACUGCCACUGACAUUGAUGCGCGAAAGUGUGGGGAUCAAACAGGAUUAGAUACCCUUGUAGUC